rnacentral:lncRNA from 1 species
UGCUAAGUUGCUGAAGUUGACUUCUUGCCUCAGCCUCUCAAGUUGCUGGGCCUGGAGACUUUUUUUGAUGGUCCCAACUGGGAAGGUGUUUCACCCAUCCAAUGGGUAGAGGCCAGGGAUCUGCUAAAUAAUACAAUGCACAGGACAGACCCCCUGACCCACGGGACUGAAGCGGGAUGCCUGUUUCUCUACCUUCUACUGUCUGGCAUUGAAUGAGAUAACUUGGGUAAGUUGCCUCUUCCUGGCUCUGCAAGAGACCCUGGGUAAACCUCUGUUUCUCUGAGUUUGUGGGGUAGAGUUAGGUGUGGGGCAGGGGGAAGUUCAGUGAAUCUUUUUUUUUUUUUUUAAUUCUUUUUAAGAGAUAGAGAGAGAUAUUUAACAUUUAUUCUUCAGUUUUCGGUGAACACAACAUCUUUAUUUUAUUUGUAUGUGGUGCUGAGGAUCGAACCCAGCGCUGCGCGCAUGCCAGGCAAGCGUGUUACCGCUUGAGCCACAUCCCCAGCCCAUCAGUGAAUCUUUGUAUUGGAAAAAAAAAAUUUUUUUUGGGUACUGGGAAUUGCACCGAGGGCCUUGAACAUGCUAGGCAAGUAUUCUACCACUGAGCUACAUCACCAGUCUUGAAGUUCCUUUUUUAAUAAAGCAGUUAAAACUGUGUACCAGUGUCCCUUUUCCCAUGGAUUUUUUUUUUUUUCAUUUUGAGAAGGGAUAAACCCAUAAAUCAUGUAUUUCUUAAUUUUCUUUCUAAUUCUUAAGCCAUUUAAGGGCUUCUGCAGUGUGAAUUGGUCGUGUAGGCCUAGAAGUUUACUUGAUGACAGAAAAAAAUCUGUCCCUAUUGUCUCUACCCUCUGUUUUUAUUUUGAUAUUGGAGAUUGACUUUGGGCACUUUAUUAUUACUGAGCCACAUUCCCAGCUCUCAUUUUUUGUUUGAAACAGGCUCUUACUAACUUGCUUAGGACAUAACUAAGUUUCUGAGGCUGGUCUUAAAAUUGUAAUCCUCCUGCCUUAGUUGUCUUGAGUGGUUGGGAUUACAGGCAUGUGGCAAUGAGCCUGGUGCACCUUCUUUUUUUAGAUUUUGAGUGCUGCGUAUGUUGUGAUUUGUGUCGGAAUUUUUUCUAUCUUCUCUGUACGGGGUUAUUAUUCCUGAUUUUCCCUUCCUCAGUAAAUAUCAGCUUUGUCUGCCCCAGUGACUCCAUGCUCCUUCCCUAACAUUCUAUAUGGAGUUUGUUAGUUGUGAUUUGUGUUUACUUGCCUGUCUUCACUGAACUUUUUUUUUUUGUGUGCACUCUGGGGAUUGAACCCAGAGUGCUUUACCAAAAUUACAACCUUUAAUUUUUUUUUUUUUGCUUAGAGCAUUUUAUAGUUUGCUUGAGGCUGGCCUUGAAACUGUCCUCUC